CCUACGGGGGGCAGCAGUGGGGAAUAUUGGACAAUGGAGGAAACUCUGACCCAGCAACGCCGCGUGAAUGAUGAAGGUCUUCGGAUUGUAAAGUUCUUUUCUAAGGGAAGAAAAAAGUGACGGUACCUUAAGAAUAAGCCUCGGCUAACUACGUGCCAGCAGCCGCGGGAAUACGGAGGAGGCGAGCGUUAUCCGGAAUGACUGGGCGUAAAGGGUGCGUAGGUGGUUUGGCAAGUUAGUAGCGGAACUCCGAGGCUCAACCUGAGAAAUACUAAUAAAACUGUUGGACUUGAGUGCAGGAGGGGAAACCGGAAUUCCUAGGGUAGCGGGGGAAGGGGUAGAUAUUAGGAGGAACACCAGUGGCGAAGGCGGGUUGCUAGACUGUAACUGACACUGAGGCACGAAAGCGUGGGGAGCAAACAGGAUUAGAUACCCCUGUAGUC
rnacentral:rRNA from 1 species